UGAAAAUUAUGAAGGUUGCGGCGUUAUUAAUAUCACUUCUUAAAAAUGAUUGCAUGAACGGAAACCAACCCGAAAACUUGUCUCUCCUAUCGAAAAAACUCUGGGUUGUUCUCCAUUCAGAGCUUCGACUUUACAAAGCAUCGGUUUCCUGGUGAAAAUUUACUGAAAUCAGCUGAGGGAAGUGAAUCCUGUCCACCUUCACUUCACAAGAUACUAUCUAAUGGUUUGUUGAGUGAAGCUCAAGAAAAGAGGUUGAAACAUGCUUUUUACAU
rnacentral:lncRNA from 1 species